rnacentral:rRNA from 1 species
UACGAAGGGGGCUAGCGUUGUUCGGAUUUACUGGGCGUAAAGCGCACGUAGGCGGAUCUUUAAGUCAGAGGUGAAAUCCCAAGGCUCAACCUUGGAACUGCCUUUGAUACUGGCGAUCUCGAGUCCGGGAGAGGUGAGUGGAACUGCGAGUGUAGAGGUGAAAUUCGUAGAUAUUCGCAAGAACACCAGUGGCGAAGGCGGCUCACUGGCCCGGUACUGACGCUGAGGUGCGAAAGCGUGGGGAGCAAACAGG